rnacentral:rRNA from 1 species
UACGUAGGUGACAAGCGUUGUCCGGAUUUACUGGGCGUAAAGAGCGCGCAGGCGGUCGAUCAAGUCGAGUGUGAAAGCCCCCGGCUCAACUGGGGAGGGUCAUUCGAUACUGCUCGGCUCGAAGACAGGAGAGGGAAGUGGAAUUCCCGGUGUAGUGGUGAAAUGCGUAGAUAUGUGGAGGAACACCGAUGGCGAAGGCAGCCCCCUGGGUCAAGAUUGACGCUCAUGCACGAAAGCGUGGGGAGCAAACAAGG